AAAGCGUGGGGAGCAAACAGGAUUAGAUACCCCGGUAGUCCACGCCUAAACGAUGUCCAACUAGCUGUUGGGGCCUCGGGCCUUGAAGUGGCUGCGACUAACGCGUGAAGUUGACCGCCUGGGGAUACGGUCGCAAGAUUAAAACUCAAAGAGAUUGACGAGGACCACACAAGCAGUGGAUGAUGUGGAUUAAUUCGAUGCAACGCGAAAACCUUACUACCCUUACGACAUGUCUGGAAUCCCGAAGAGAUUUGGGAGUGCUCGCAAGAGAACCGGAACACAGGUGCUGCAUGGCGGCUGUGUCAGCUCGUGUCGUGAGAUGUUGGGUUAAGUCCCGCAACAGGCGCAAGCCCUUGUCAUUAGUUGCUACGAAGGAGCGCUCCUAAUGGGGCUGCCGGUGAGCAAACCGGAGGGAAGGUGGGGAUGACGUCAAGUCCUCAUGGCCCAUAUGGGUAGGGCUUCACACGUCAUACAAUGGUCAGGACAAGGGGUCACUUGCAACCCGCGAGAGAUAAUCCAGAAACCCGAUCAUCAGUCUGGAUCGCAGUCUGCAACUCGACUGCGUGAAGUCAGGGUAUGGCAAUAUCGCGGAUCAGCAUGUCGCGGUGAAUACGUUCCCGGGUCUUGUACACACCGCCCGUCACACCAUGGGAGUGGGUUUUACCAGAAGUAGUUAGCCUAACCGUAAGGAGGGCGAUUACCGACAGGAUUCAUGACUGGGGUGAAGUCGUAACAAAAGACAGCU
rnacentral:misc_RNA from 1 species